AAUGAACGUUGGCGGCAUGGAUUAGGCAUGCAAGUCGCGCGCGAAAUGUAGCAAUACAUGGAGAGCGGCGAAAGGGAGAGGAAUACGUGGGAACCUACCUUCGGGCCUGGAAUAGCGGCGGGAAACUGCCGGUAAUGCCAGAUAACGUCUCCGGACCAAAGGUGUGAUUCCGCCGGAAGAUGGGCCCACGUCCUAUCAGCUAGUUGGUGUGGUAAUGGAGCACCAAGGCUAAAACGGGUAUGGGGUGUGAGAGCAUGCCCCCACUCACUGGGACUGAGACACUGCCCAGACACCUACGGGUGGCUGCAGUCGGGAAUCUUCGGCAAUGAGCGCAAGCUUGACCGAGCGAUGCCGCGUGCGGGAUGAAGGCCUUCGGGUUGUAAACCGCUGUCGUAGGGGAAUAAUGGCCAAGGGGUACUCUUCUUGGUUUGAAUGUUCCUAGGAGGAAGGACGGGCUAAGUUCGUGCCAGCCGCCGCCGUAA
rnacentral:rRNA from 1 species